GAGGUGUGUGGGAAGAGAUCCAGAUUCUGUUCUUUGAGCGACAGUCAGCUCCUCUGACCUUUUCCCCUCUGAUUAUGAUGUAAAGCGGAUGUGAACUGGGCCUCAUGGACUUGGUUGUUACUAAAGUCAACAUUAUCUAAGGUCAAUUGACCCAGAUAAAGAGUAUGUCAAAGGCCAGCAAGAUGGCCCAGUGGGUAAAUUUACCUGCUGCCAUGGCAGCUCUGGCUACCUGAAGUGGAUCUCUGCCACACAUAAAGAUGGCAGACAGCAUCUCCAUAGAUGAGUUGGUACCCUCAGCCAAAACUCCUAGACCAGUGGGGAGAGCAGAGUUGGUGACCAAUGGAGAAUGACUUAUCAGCCAUGGCUCUGCAGGAAACCUUCACUUAAACACCUGAGGAUAGAAUUCAGUUCGAUUCUCGGUUGGUAAGACCAGAGGACAGACAAGUUCCUUGCUUCACCCACACUUAGCUAUCAUAUACAUCCCCUACUGGCCACUCCUGACUCAAACCUUUCCCAAUAAAAAGUUAUCAUACUUAAUGGC